UGCGUAGGCGGGCUAAUAAGUCAGUGGUGAAAUCUCUCGGCUCAACCGGGAAACUGCCAUUGAUACUGUUAGUCUUGAGUUCGGUUGAGGUAGGCGGAGUGUGUAAUGUAGCGGUGAAAUGCUUAGAUAUUACACAGAACACCAAUUGCGUAGGCAGCUUACUAGACCGACACUGACGCUGAGGCACGAAAGCGUGGGGAGCGAACAGGAUUAGAUACCCUGGUAGUCC
rnacentral:rRNA from 1 species